rnacentral:misc_RNA from 1 species
AUUUAGAGGAAGGAGAAGUCGUAACAAGGUUUCCGUAGGUGAACCUGCGGAAGGAUCAUUGUCGAAACCUGCCCAGCAGAACGACCCGCGAACGAGUGAUGCAAAACACAGGAGGGGGAUGCGCGAGCAGACCCCGCCUGCCGCGUCGCGGGGGUGAGGAUGGGUGCCUCGUCCGCGAGCGUCCGCCCGAACCCCCUGCAGCGCAACAACGAACUCCGGCGCGGAUUGCGCCAAGGAAACUCGAACGAGAGAGCUCGCUCCCGCAGCCCCGGAAACGGUGCGCGUGCGGGCAGCGGCGCCUUCUUUCACUAAACCAAAACGACUCUCGGCAACGGAUAUCUAGGCUCUCGCAUCGAUGAAGAACGUAGCGAAAUGCGAUACUUGGUGUGAAUUGCAGAAUCCCGUGAACCAUCGAGUCUUUGAACGCAAGUUGCGCCCCAAGCCUUUAGGCCGAGGGCACGUCUGCCUGGGUGUCACGCAUCGUUGCUCCCCCCCAACCCCCCCAACACGGGGAUGCUGCGGGCGGGGGCGGAAGCUGGCCUCCCGUGCGCCUCACGGCUCGCGGCUGGCCCAAAUCCGAGUCCUCGGCGACGCGAGCCGCGACUUUCGGUGGUCGUAACGAACCUCGAUGUCCCGUCGCGCCCGCGUCGUUGCAAGGACGGACUCCGUGACCCUUAGCGUGCUGCUGAUCCAGCGGCGCUCGCAUCGCGACCCCAGGUCAGGCGGGAUUACCCGCUGA